GCCCGCACCUCGCUCAGCCAUAACUUCUGGUCACCAAGGAGGGCCCUCACCUUCCUGACCCCUGUACCCUAAGUCAGGUUCAAGCAAAUGCGUACAAGAAGUGCUCUGGAAGGAGGCAAGAUCUCUACAUUCACCAGAGAAGUCAUUGAAUAUCCAGCUUAAGAGUGACCUUUGGGAUACAACCCCAGUAUAGGAAAGUGGCCAUGCCAUGCUGGUUAUCUCUUCUGGCCUGGUGGCUUCUGGUCAACUGCUAUUUUCCAGCCUCCUGGAUCAGUUUGUGGUCAUGUGAGAACUGAUAACAUGUUGGAUAUGAAGCAGGAACUUUGUGAAGAAACAGAAUCAUGUAGGGAGGGGUCUGAUGGACAAAACAAAACUGUAUCAGUGUGCCAAAUACAGAGGAGACAGUGAACCUAAUGGGAGUUUGGAAAUGCAGGAUGGGGAUGCCACAGGUGAAAAAAUAUAUAAAUGUGAUGAAUGUGGGAAAACUUUGACAUGGAUAAGAUGACUUCGAAUACAUAGGAGGAUCCACAGUGGGAAGAAACUAUCCUUGUAUAGAAUGUGGAAAGGCCUUCAUCAGACAUGCGGAACUUACCCAGCACCAGGUGCUGUGAGCCAUUCUGCUAUAGGGAAUGGCAGGGGAGCCUGAGAAGUGAUACCCCUUGUUCUGCAGGCUACAUGGGGGUCCUGUUUGUGUGGCAUGGUUCCGUGGAAUUUCUUAUUUGUUCACCCUUGGUUGCUUGACAAGGCUUCCCAGAAUUAAACAGCCUAACCUUUUGGCUUAGUAUGGCUUUGGGAAAUUCCCU